rnacentral:lncRNA from 1 species
AUGCAAAUGAGAUGCACAAACAAAGGAGCUUGGACAGAGAAAUAUCUGCAAUUCCAGCAAAAUGCUGCCUGCAGCUCGGGCUCGAAGAUGAAGAGCUUUGAUAAAAUGAUUCUAAAGAGAGAAAAUAUAAGUCGAGAACUCGUCAGAAUCAGCAUUGAGGGAAGGCUGGAACCAACAUGGAGCAGCACCCAAACAGCCCGUUUUAAUGAAGGCAAUCAAGUCAGUAGAGCUAAUUCAAAGACAAUGUAACAUGCUGAUUUUAAUAAGCUUUUAAAAGGCAAUCUCUAACUUUUAAAAGUCUCUUUUUAAUUUAAUUGUCCUUGGUUCAUAUGAUGCCCAAACAAACAAACAAAACCAUUAAAAUAUGUUUUCAAUAUGUGACACUUCUUGGACAGUGUUUUAAACUCAUCUUGUAUCUGUAAAAAUACCAUUUCAGUGCCUUUUUUUUAAACCUGGAGAGCAGAAAUUACCAGCCAAAUGACUGAUUUGUUUUUUUUUCUAUAAAGAUGAAUUAAACCUAAUUCAGAAACUUUAACGUUUGUAGGCUUGUGUCAUGACACUUAAAUUGGUACAUUUAAACACGUGCAUCAUAGGCUGAUAACCAAAGCCCAUAUGGAGAAACACUAGAUUAGACCCUUUCAGUGUAUGGGUGUUUUUAGCUUCUCACAGCUUAGCUACUUAGGACUAUUUAAAAUUUUUAAGACAACUCUAGCUUUUUUGAAUUGAGAUAUACACUGAUCAUUACAAUGAUUUUGUCAUGGCCCCUGCCUAAAUUAUUUCAUCCCUGUAGCUGAUACUUGGGGUGGAGUCUUGCUUUGUGAGAACUAUAUAUAGCCUUCACACUUUAUAUGCAUUUUUUCAAACUAAUGUUUUAUUUGCUUAUAACAAGGCAAUGUUCUCCAAUUUUAAUACACCACUCCUGUUGCAUUGGAGGGUUAGAAACUUAGACAUAAGGGAGGGCAGAUUAGAAGAAGGGGUACUCAGAAUGCAUGCCAUCUUGAGGUGGGGGGAGGGACGAGAUGGGGAGAAAAUUUGGAACUCAAAAUCUUGUGGAAGUGAAUGUUGAAAACUAAAAUAAAUUAAUUAAAUUUUAUAAAAAAGAAACUUAG